rnacentral:rRNA from 1 species
CCUACGGGAGACAGCAGUAGGGAAUCUUCCACAAUGGGCGAAAGCCUGAUGGAGUAACGCCGCGUGGGUGAAGAAGGUCUUCGGAUCGUAAAACCCUGUUGUUAGAGAAGAAAGUGCGUGAGAGUAACUGUUCACGUUUCGACGGUAUCUAACCAGAAAGCCACGGCUAACUACGUGCCAGCAGCCGCGGUAAUACGUAGGUGGCAAGCGUUAUCCGGAUUUAUUGGGCGUAAAGGGAACGCAGGCGGUCUUUUAAGUCUGAUGGGAAAGCCUUCGGCUUAACCGGAGUAGUGCAUUGGAAACUGGGAGACUUGAGUGCAGAAGAGGAGAGUGGAACUCCAUGUGUAGCGGUGAAAUGCGUAGAUAUAUGGAAGAACACCAGUGGCGAAAGCGGCUCUCUGGUCUGUAACUGACGCUGAGGUUCGAAAGCGUGGGUAGCAAACAGGAUUAGAUACCCCAGUAGUC